rnacentral:rRNA from 1 species
AACGAACGCUGGCGGCAUGCCUAACACAUGCAAGUCGAACGAGACCUUCGGGUCUAGUGGCGCACGGGUGCGUAACGCGUGGGAACCUGCCCUUAGGUUCGGAAUAACUCCCCGAAAGGGGUGCUAAUACCGGAUAAUGUCUUCGGACCAAAGAUUUAUCGCCUUUGGAUGGGCCCGCGUUGGAUUAGCUAGUUGGUAGGGUAAAAGCCUACCAAGGCGACGAUCCAUAGCUGGUCUGAGAGGAUGAUCAGCCACCCUGGGACUGAGACACGGCCCAGACCCCUCGGGGGGGCAGCAGGGGGGAAUUUUGGAAAAGGGGCAAAAGCCUGACCCAGAAAUGCCGGGGGAGUGAUGAAGGCCUUAGGGUUGAAAAGCUCUUUUACCCGGGAUGAUAAUGAAAGUACCGGGAAAAAAAGCCCCGGCUAACCCCGU